GGGGCCCCUUCUCGGCGCUCUUGUCCCCAGGGUAGUCGGAGGAGGCGAGGUUUUCCGGGGUGCCGUAGGCCGUCUCGAAAAACUGGUCGAAAGCCUGUGGCAGGACGCCGUUUCGGCCCACGGUGCUAUAGAAAUUGGACGAGACGGCGGGGGUGGGGUGGUGGUAGACGUUGGCCGAGCUCUUGGCCAGCACGUCGCCAGGCACGCCGGCCGCGCUGGGCGCCUGCAGGCAGUCUCUGUGCACGAGCUCCUCCGCGGAGUAGCAGUGGGCCAGAUUGCCGCGGGGGUGCCAUUUAGUGGCGGGCUCAAUGGCGUAUUCUCUGAAGGUCACUUCGCGCACGGGUUGGACCUGGGGCAGGUUGGAAGAGUAGGAGUAUGUCAUUGGGCGCGAAGACGGGGUCUGGGGCAGAAAAGAAGGGAGGCUGGAGAAAUCUGGACCCGAGACGUAGUAAGUACAACUUGGCAAAUACAUGUUAGAGGAGCAGGGACCACGCUCAUCAAAAUCCAUCAUUGGGCUACCUUGGGCUUUCCGCAGUAGCCGAGCUUAACAUGAUUCUCCACUGCAGCUGCCUCUUUGAAGCGGAUCCGUGAAGUAGAAAUUUGGAGACGUAAGCUGACGUGGAAAUCUAUCCCCAUCCUUAGCAGGGAGGUGCUGGUCAUGUGACCCGAUGUUGAAAUUGACAAGCUGCUAGCUAGUCCGGGCCUUCCCCCCCCCCUUUCCUUUCCUUUCUUCCACCCCCCCCCCCGCCCCCGGCUUCCUUUCUUUGUAGCCACCUCAAGGGAAGCAACAGAUCGUCACUCGGUGUUCUCACCGAAAGCACGUAAUCGCCGGUGUAACUCAUGUUGGCUGGGGGUGCCUCCCGGCGCGCGGCGAGGCUGGGUGCUACCCCGUGCCAAUUGCUUGUGCUCAGCUGCACGGUCCUGGCCCUCGAGUGCGCCGAGGGCGGUGAGAGAGCUCAACUCCUGCCACCCACCACUCCCCGGGAGGCCCAACAGCCAAGCUGAGCCCACCCGGCUCAAGAGAACACCCGACCGGGGGGGCUAAGGCUGCCCUGGAAGGCCAAGUGCGAGUUGCAUUUUUUGAAGAGUCCAAGAUGGGCAUGGCUGUGACGUUGGCCCUGGAGACUGGUUUCCCAUGAGUUGUUCUUUCUCAGGAGCUCCACAGUGUGAGGCCAUCUCCAGAAAACAGUCUUCAGUGUGUAUUUCCUUUUAUCGUCAACCCGGAGCCCCACGGCAGCUAAUGCAAAAGGCCAAAAAUGUUUUGGAGGAAGAAAAACAAAGGCAGGAAGUGGCGGCGGCUUGACGGUGCGUGUGUGUCUGCGGAGAAGGGAGGGAGCCCUUUCAAUCUCUUCUUGUUUUUCCAAACUUCAGGGUCCAGGCAGCCCUCGCAGGGCCGGCCCGUUGCUCCCCGCGCAGCACUUGGAGAUGGCCACCCGGAGAGGAGAAGGCUGGCGCCGGAGCCAGCCUUGUCAGGCGGAAACGGCUAACGAGGCGAUUUGCUCAGCAAAGCAGACCAAGCCUUUCCAAACUUCAUUUGACUUGGCCCUAAAAGUGGGGGGUUGGGGGAUUCUGCAACACCUCCCGGACCCUCCUUGGCAGGCGGGCUGAGUGCUCCGUGGCGGGGAUUCGGGAGCCCUGCACUCCACGCGCCUUCCCAGGCGGGAUAUGGGAAUAAAGUGUGUCCAGAUGCCUCUGCCCAGCA